UACCAGCACCCCGAGUGGUCGGGACGAUUAUUGGGCCUAAAGCAUCCGUAGCCGGUUCUACAAGUCUUCCGUUAAAUCCACCUGCUUAACAGAUGGGCUGCAGAGGAUACUAUAGAGCUAGGAGGCGGGAGAGGCAAGCGGUACUCAGUGGGUUGGGGUAAAAUCCGUUGAUCCACUGAAGACCACCAGUGGCGAAGGCGGCUUGCCAGAACGCGCUCGACGGUGAGGGAUGAAAGCUGGGGGAGCAAACCGG
rnacentral:rRNA from 1 species